UACGGGGGGGGCAAGCGUUGUUCGGAAUUACUGGGCGUAAAGGGCUCGUAGGCGGCCAACUAAGUCCGACGUGAAAUCCCAAGGCUUAACCUUGGAACUGCGUCGGAUACUGGAUGGCUUGAAUUCGGGAGAGGGAUGCAGAAUUCCAGGUGUAGCGGUGAAAUGCGUAGAUAUCUGGAGGAAUAUCGGUGGCGAAGGCGGCAUCCUGGACCGACAUUGACGCUGAGGAGCGAAAGCUAGGGGAGCAAACGGG
rnacentral:rRNA from 1 species